GACGAACGCUGGCGGCGCGCUUAACACAUGCAAGUCGAACGGAAAGGCCUGCUUUCCCUUGUGGAUUGCGGGUACUCGAGUGGCGAACGGGUGAGUAACACGUGAGUGAUCUGCCCCCAACUUGGGUAUAAGCCUGGGAAACUGGGUCUAAUUCCCGAUAGGACUGCAGGGUGGUGCCUGUGGUGGAAAACGACUUUCUAGUGGUUGGGGAUGAGCUCGCGGCCUAUCAGCUUGUUGGUGGGGUAAUGGCCUACCAAGGCGGCGACGGGUAGCCGGCCUGAGAGGGUGGACGGCCACAUUGGGACUGAGAUACGGCCCAGACUCCUACGGGAGGCAGCAGUGGGGAAUAUUGCACAAUGGGCGGAAGCCUGAUGCAGCGACGCCGCGUGGGGGAUGACGGCCUUCGGGUUGUAAACUCCUUUCGACCGCGAGGAAGCCACCUGGUUGGAAGGGUGGUGACGGUAGUGGUAGAAGAAGCACCGGCUAACUACGUG
rnacentral:rRNA from 1 species